rnacentral:rRNA from 1 species
GACGAACGCUGGCGGCGUGCUUAACACAUGCAAGUCGAACGGAAAGGCCCUGCUUUUGUGUGGUGCUCGAGUGGCGAACGGGUGAGUAACACGUGAGUAACCUGCCCUUGACUUUGGGAUAACUUCAGGAAACUGGGGCUAAUACCGGAUAGGAGCUCCUGCUGCAUGGUGGGGGUUGGAAAGUUUCGGCGGUUGGGGAUGGACUCGCGGCUUAUCAGCUUGUUGGUGGGGUAGUGGCUUACCAAGGCUUUGACGGGUAGCCGGCCUGAGAGGGUGACCGGCCACAUUGGGACUGAGAUACGGCCCAGACUCCUACGGGAGGCAGCAGUGGGGAAUAUUGCACAAUGGGCGGAAGCCUGAUGCAGCAACGCCGCGUGCGGGAUGACGGCCUUCGGGUUGUAAACCGCUUUCGGCUGUGACGAAGCGUGAGUGACGGUAAUGGGUAAAGAAGCACCGGCUAACUACGUG